GACGACGACUCCACAGGCAGCUGACUGAAGAAACGUACGCCUAGAACUCCUCGAAGUCGGGGAAGUACUCCUCUUCCCAAUUAACUUGGUCUGAACAGCGGUUUUGCAAGGGUGAGUACACUUAUGGUUGGUACUCAACAAGUCGUGGGGAAUAGUGUAGUGUAAGGCUAAUCCAAGGUAUGGCUAAGGCAUAAUUAGCAGUCGCUUUUAAUUAAGUUGGUCAAGUUUUAUUAGCAAU
rnacentral:lncRNA from 1 species